AAAUUGAAGAGUUUGAUCAUGGCUCAGAUUGAACGCUGGCGGCAGGCCUAACACAUGCAAGUCGAGCGGUAGCACAGAGAGCUUGCUCUCGGGUGACGAGCGGCGGACGGGUGAGUAAUGUCUGGGAAACUGCCUGAUGGAGGGGGAUAACUACUGGAAACGGUAGCUAAUACCGCAUAACGUCGCAAGACCAAAGAGGGGGACCUUCGGGCCUCUUGCCAUCAGAUGUGCCCAGAUGGGAUUAGCUAGUAGGUGGGGUAACGGCUCACCUAGGCGACGAUCCCUAGCUGGUCUGAGAGGAUGACCAGCCACACUGGAACUGAGACACGGUCCAGACUCCUACGGGAGGCAGCAGUGGGGAAUAUUGCACAAUGGGCGCAAGCCUGAUGCAGCCAUGCCGCGUGUAUGAAGAAGGCCUUCGGGUUGUAAAGUACUUUCAGCGGGGAGGAAGGUGUUGUGGUUAAUAACCACAGCAAUUGACGUUACCCGCAGAAGAAGCACCGGCUAACUCCGUGCCAGCAGCCGCGGUAAUACGGAGGGUGCAAGCGUUAAUCGGAAUUACUGGGCGUAAAGCGCACGCAGGCGGUCUGUCAAGUCGGAUGUGAAAUCCCCGGGCUCAACCUGGGAACUGCAUUCGAAACUGGCAGGCUAGAGUCUUGUAGAGGGGGGUAGAAUUCCAGGUGUAGCGGUGAAAUGCGUAGAGAUCUGGAGGAAUACCGGUGGCGAAGGCGGCCCCCUGGACAAAGACUGACGCUCAGGUGCGAAAGCGUGGGGAGCAAACAGGAUUAGAUACCCUGGUAGUCCACGCCGUAAACGAUGUCGACUUGGAGGUUGUGCCCUUGAGGCGUGGCUUCCGGAGCUAACGCGUUAAGUCGACCGCCUGGGGAGUACGGCCGCAAGGUUAAAACUCAAAUGAAUUGACGGGGGCCCGCACAAGCGGUGGAGCAUGUGGUUUAAUUCGAUGCAACGCGAAGAACCUUACCUACUCUUGACAUCCAGAGAACUUAGCAGAGAUGCUUUGGUGCCUUCGGGAACUCUGAGACAGGUGCUGCAUGGCUGUCGUCAGCUCGUGUUGUGAAAUGUUGGGUUAAGUCCCGCAACGAGCGCAACCCUUAUCCUUUGUUGCCAGCGAUUCGGUCGGGAACUCAAAGGAGACUGCCAGUGAUAAACUGGAGGAAGGUGGGGAUGACGUCAAGUCAUCAUGGCCCUUACGAGUAGGGCUACACACGUGCUACAAUGGCGCAUACAAAGAGAAGCGACCUCGCGAGAGCAAGCGGACCUCAUAAAGUGCGUCGUAGUCCGGAUUGGAGUCUGCAACUCGACUCCAUGAAGUCGGAAUCGCUAGUAAUCGUAGAUCAGAAUGCUACGGUGAAUACGUUCCCGGGCCUUGUACACACCGCCCGUCACACCAUGGGAGUGGGUUGCAAAAGAAGUAGGUAGCUUAACCUUCGGGAGGGCGCUUACCACUUUGUGAUUCAUGACUGGGGUGAAGUCGUAACAAGGUAACCGUAGGGGAACCUGCGGUUGGAUCACCUCCUUACCUUAAAGAA
rnacentral:rRNA from 1 species